rnacentral:rRNA from 1 species
UACGGAGGGUGCAAGCGUUGUCCGGAAUCACUGGGCGUAAAGGGCGCGUAGGCGGCCUGGUAAGUAGGGGUGAAAUCCUGCGGCUUAACCGCAGGCUGCCUUCUAACUGUCAGGCUUGAGCACGGUAGAGGCAGAUGGAAUUCCCGGUGUAGCGGUGGAAUGCGUAGAGAUCGGGAAGAACAUCAGUGGCGAAGGCGGUCUGCUGGCCGUGCUGACGCUGAGGAGCGAAAGCGUGGGAGCAAACAGG